UUUUAUAUAUCGCACACCUAGAUAAAGGGUCGCACAACUCGAAAUAAUCCAAAAUCAAGUUUUCGCGCCUAUCGGAAUCUGCGUUGAAAAUUACACUAACUUCAAAGACACCUGUUUACUAAUCUCCAUUAAUAAAAUGUUGAUGGCGCUGUAAGUUAGUCUUUCUGACUAGCACCACGACAUCCCUCACCAAAAACAGUAACGCAACACCAAUUACAACAUGUCAGCUGUAGGAAAAGAUGCUGUCAAUACGUCCAAAUACUAAAUUAUUUCGACUUAGUUUUCUAUUUGUGGUUAACUAAGUAAUGAAGCGUAAAUUAUUUUGAGUUCAGUUGAUAUUCGUGAUUGAACAGUUUUGUUUCUUGGGCGUGCUUCAAAUUAUUUCCACUUACCCUGGUAUUGUUUACAAAAAAGGCGAUGGAGGCUACUACUAAAGGCCCUGAAAGCAGCAAUGCAGAGAUGGCGCUCCCAGAGAACUCAACAACACCUUCGACGAGCACCAAGGAGAUAAAACAAAUAAUAUUGGAAAAUGGCUCCAUGGAGGUACAAAAGAACCCAGCAACAUUAGCAUCACCAUCAACAAGCACACAGGUGAAACCAUCGUACUAUAUUUCACCGAUUAACCGCGAGGUUAGUGAAUUAAAGGAUUCGGAUGCGGAUCCGCUUUUCAACCCACCUCCCAAAGAGAAGACUCACAGGCUAUCUCUCGUCGCUCCAAGAAAGAGGUCUCGUUUUUCCAAUUCUAGCUCAUCAUCUAGUAGUUCCUGCAGCUCUGCAAGAUACAGUAAUACAGAAAUAGAUUGUAACUCUAUGCCUUUUACCAUGCCGAAUCCUGUAAAUCUCUUUAAAGAAAAUCCACUUGCUGUCGCAAAGUUUCCACCUCUCCACUGAUUAUAAACCAGUCUCCUGAUCCUAAAAGCUUUCAAAAGGGAAAAAAAAGGACAAGAAACCUUGCUGGUUGGGCAACAAAUGUUGAGAAAACUCAUCGAAAUACCGGAAAGACUUACGUAAGUUCCCUGCAAGAACGGUCCAGCCUCCAUACCAAAAUAAGUGCAAAUUGAAAUGCAAAUCUCAAAUAAGUGAUAUAUUAGCCAAAUCCUAGUUCGACAAAUUUUGGGGUCUAGGAGACCUGUACAGUAGCGGACGAGGUAAAGAGAGCUGGUAGGACUUGGAGCGAGGUGAAACACGAGGCGCAAGACCGAACGGGAUGGAGGCUCGCUGUGGACGCCCUCUGCCCCACCUAGGGGUUAUAGGACAUAAAGAAG